rnacentral:lncRNA from 1 species
GAACUGGUAUUUUUAUUUGUUAAAUGGUAAGUAUUCUUUUAACUUAAAAGCCAUUUACUAGACUGAGAUAUAGGACAGGUGUUGGAGUACUUGUGCAUAAAUGAAACCCUGGGUUCCAUCUCCAGCAACACAAAAACUAGGUAGGGUGACAUAGACCUGAAUGCCAGCACUCUGAAGGUAGAGGCAGGAGAGUCAGAUGUUCAAGGCAUCUUUGGUUACACCUUGAGUUCGAGGCCAACCUAUCUAAAAAGAAAAGAAAAGAAAAAAAAAAGGCUUACUUCUAAAACCUUUUUGUUAUUUAAAAAUAUAAAAGUUUAGUUUUGGUUGUGAGCCCAAAGAUUGUGACCCUUUAAUGGCUGAGCCAAGGGAGAAGGAUAGUGUGAGGGGGGAGACCAGGAGAGGGGCAGUGAUUGGGACGUAAAAUGAAUGAAUAAAUAAAUAAAUGGAAAAAUAAAAAUAAAGUAUAGAACACUUUUCAGCUUUUGCUUCCUGUUUCAUAAGUCUGGCUGUGCUACAUAAUGAAAUAAAAGUACCUUUCACAAUGACUAAUACUAAUGGGGUUUAUAUCUUCAUUCAUUUAAAUUGUGAUCAUUUUGCUUAAUGUUUUUAUUUUUUUCUGAAAUACCAUUCUCAUCUUUCUUUAAGGUCUUCAAUUGCAAGAGAAAUACAUACACAUAUGUGUAAAAUACAUAUAUACAUUCCUCAUAGAAAAGGCAGUGUUAGAAUUCUUUUUCACUGAUAUGUCACGUGACGUACCUGAGUUGGCUCUCAGCCUGAAAACAUCUGAACAUGUUGUUAAAUUUUUAAAACACCUUCUCAAGUGGAUCAGUGACCUAGAAGGAAAUAGUUUCCUAAAGGCAAAACCAAAUGGAUGAGGAGCCUAAAAUACACAAGAGUACAAUGAUCAACUUCUACCCUAAGAGGAGCUGCUCAACUGGGUAGACUUACGCUUUGUUUCAAAGGCUUCCCAUGGUCUGAAGCUGAAACAAAAUAGAGAAUGGGCAAGCCUAUUCUAAACAUAUGCAACAUAAAACAACUAUAAUAUAACCACACUAUAUAACUAUACAGUAGUGAAAAUAAAGAAGAGGCAGGCAACAUAACAGAAAAUAAGAAAGCAAGCUUCAGAAGACUUGGGAAGACUUUGUGGGUUGGAGAGAUAGGUCAGUGGAAAAGAAUAUAUACUACUCUCAGGACCUGGAACUCCAUCUCUAGUGUAUCUGACGCCCUCUAUGGACUUUGUGGGCUCAUGAAUUCACACAUAUGUAUUCACACACUAAAUAAAAUAAAAUAAAAUCUUAAAGGUAUAAUAUCCUUACAUCAAGCUCAAAUGCAAACAAAAGUAAACAGUAUAACAGCCUCACAAACAUAUGUAUUUGUUACUUUUCUGUUGCCAUGAUAAAAGAUAAUUAAAACUUAUAAAAGACUUCAUUUUGGCUUAAGGUUCCAAAGGGAAAGUACAUAAUGCUGGGAAGACAAGGCAGCAGGCAACAGGAACAAGAAGCUGGCUGAUCACGUCUUAGCCAUGCACAGGAACCAGAGAAAGAAGUUAGGAGGUGGGAAAAGACUAUAAACCAUCAAAGCCCACCCCAGUGACACACCUCCUCUAGCAAGGCUCUACCUCCUAAAGCUUCCAUAACAUCCCCAAACAGCCCACCCACUGGGACCAGUUAUUCAAAUACACAGUCCUAGGAGAGACAUUUCUCCUUCAAACUGCCACUGCAUGUGUCAAUGAUAAAAAUGGAAUGCAACAAAAGAAAUGCAAGGGAUGAGGAAGUGUCAAAUAAACAAGUUAACUAAGGAGACUUAAAACAAACCUAUACGUUUAGUCAUAAAUUGGGAAUUACGGUUAGGACAAUUCUAUGUGCUUAAGGAUCACAAUAACGUUCCAUGUAGAUGCAAAAAUGAAAAAACAGUCCAGAAUCUUUUGAAGGAAUAAUAAUAAAAGAGAUUUAUCUUAUGCUAAGACACAAUAUAUAGUGAGUAAUUAAUAUGGAAGUGCCAUGGUAGUGGAAAUAGAAAAUUACAUAAAAUAAAGGAUUCAAAGAUAUAAUACAUAAUAACUAAGGUACAAUUCACAGGAAAUCAAAAUAUUUAAGUGCUGCUUAUAUUAAAUGCGAAGGAGAGAAAGUAGGCAUGGUUUUACUUAUGAAAACCCAAUGCUGAGAAUAAAACUAAGAACAAACAAGAUCGUUGUCCUGAAAAUUAGAAUUUCUAUAACGUUUCGGGGCGUCUGGGAAUGCCAGCAAGACAUCUUGAUACCCCUGCCCCUGUGUUGGCAAGGAGAUGGUGAGCUAUUCUUUCACAGUUUAAAAAAAUGGGAAUAAAUUAACUAUAGCUGAUGCUAGGAAAACCAUAUUUCCAGUGACGACAUCUAUGUCUUGAGAAAUAAAGGCAGAUUUAAGGGUACAUUUCAGCCCAAAGGGUAUGUUCCACUGAAACCAGUACAGAGAACAGGCAGCCAGUCACUUGACAACUAAAUAAUCCCACUUUAAAAGCCGAGCAACAGGGCUGAGGUAGAUCUCAGGGCCAGAGCCCAGAGCCCAGUGCUUGUCAUAAGGAAUUCCUGGGUUCAGUUCCUAGCACC